rnacentral:misc_RNA from 1 species
GAUGAAGAACGUAGCGAAAUGCGAUACGUAAUGCGAAUUGCAGAUCUAGUGAAUCAUCGAGUCUUUGAACGCACAUUGCGCCCCCCGGCACUCCGGGGGGCUUGUCCGACCGAGCGCCGCAGCGCCGCCCAGGCCUCCCUCGCCCCCGCUGAGGACAGCGGGGGCGAGUGGGGGCCUGGUGUUGGGGCACGCCGACGCCCCAGAGCGUCGGCGGCCCUGAAAUCCAGCCGCGGCCGCCGCAGCCCCAGCGCGGCCUCCCCCUAGGCGCAGUACGUUCUCACCUGUAAAAAGGGUGCUGCCGCCUGCGAGGGAGAGGUCCCUGCGACGGCCCGUCACCGGAUGGGGGGGUUAGGGCUCCGCCCGCCCGCCCGCCACCACGAACCCAGGUUGGCCUCGGGUCGGACAAGGUUACCCGCUGAACUUAAGCAUAUCAAUAAGCGGAGGA